AGCAGCCGCGGUAAUUCCAGCUCCAAUAGCGUAUAUUAAAGUUGUUGCAGUUAAAAAGCUCGUAGUUGAAUUUCGGGAUCAAUACGUCGGUCGUGCCUUCGGUACGUACUGGCGUCAUUGGUUUCUCCCUUCUGACGAACCAUGAUGUCAUUAAUUUGGUGUUAUGGGAAGUUAGGACUGUUACUUUGAAAAAUUAGAGUGUUUAAAGCAGGCAUUAGCUUGAAUACAUUAGCAUGGAAUAAUGAAAUAGGACGUUCGAACCUAUUUUGUUGGUUUCUAGGAUCAACGUAAUGAUUAAUAGGGAUAGUUGGGGGCAUUAGUAUUCAAUUGUCAGAGGUGAAAUUCUUGGAUUUAUUGAAGACUAACUACUGCGAAAGCAUUUGCCAAGGAUGUUUUCAUUAAUCAAGAACGAAAGUUAGGGGAUCGAAGACGAUCAGAUACCGUCGUAGUCUUAACCAUAAACUAUGCCGACUAGGGAUCGGAUGAUGUUAAUUUUUAAUGACUCAUUCGGCGCCUUACG
rnacentral:rRNA from 1 species